rnacentral:rRNA from 1 species
AGCGAACGCUGGCGGCAGGCCUAACACAUGCAAGUCGAACGAACUCUUCGGAGUUAGUGGCGGACGGGUGAGUAACCCGUGGGAACGUGCCUUUUGGUUCGGCAUAACUCAGGGAAACUUGUGCUAAUACCGAAUGUGCCCUUCGGGGGAAAGAUUUAUCGCCAUUAGAGCUGCCCGCGUCUGAUUAGCUAGUUGGUAAGGUAACGGCUCACCAAGGCGACGAUGAGUAGCUGGUCUGAGAGGAUGACCAGCCACACUGGAACUGAGACACGGCCCAGACUCCGACGGGAGGCAGCAGUAGGGAAGCUUCCGCAAGGGGCGAAAGACUGACGGAGCAACGCAGCGUGAGUGAGGAAGGUCUUCGGAUCGUAAAACUAUGUUAUUAGGGAAGAACAAAAGUGUAAGUAACGAUGCACGUCUUGACGGUACCUAAUCAGAAAGACACGGCUAACUACGUG